GAUGAACGCUGGCGGCGUGCCUAAUACAUGCAAGUCGAGCGAACGGACGAGAAGCUUGCUUCUCUGAUGUUAGCGGCGGACGGGCGAGUAACACGUGGAUAACCUACCUAUAAGACUGGGAUAACUUCGGGAAACCGUAGCUAAUACCGGAUAAUAUUUUGAACCGCAUGGUUCAAAAGUGAAAGACGGUCUUGCUGUCACUUAUAGAUGGAUCCGCGCUGCAUUAGCUAGUUGGUAAGGUAACGGCUUACCAAGGCAACGAUGCAUAGCCGACCUGAGAGGGUGAUCGGCCACACUGGAACUGAGACACGGUCCAGACUCCUACGGGAGGCAGCAGUAGGGAAUCUUCCGCAAUGGGCGAAAGCCGACGGAGCAACGCCGCGUGAGUGAUGAAGGUCUUCGGAUCGUAAAACUCUGUUAUUAGGGAAGAACAUAUGUGUAAGUAACUGUGCACAUCUUGACGGUACCUAAUCAGAAAGCCACGGCUAACUACGUG
rnacentral:rRNA from 1 species